rnacentral:rRNA from 1 species
UACGAAGGGGGCUAGCGUUGCUCGGAAUCACUGGGCGUAAAGCGCACGUAGGCGGAUUGCUAAGUCAGGGGUGAAAUCCUGGAGCUCAACUCCAGAACUGCCUUUGAUACUGAGGGUCUUGAGUUCGGGAGAGGUGAGUGGAACUGCGAGUGUAGAGGUGAAAUUCGUAGAUAUUCGCAAGAACACCAGUGGCGAAGGCGGCUCACUGGCCCGAUACUGACGCUGAGGUGCGAAAGCGUGGGGAGCAAACAGGG